rnacentral:rRNA from 1 species
GUCUAUGCCCAUGCCACCCUGAAUGUGCCUGAUCUCGUCUGAUCUCGAAAGCUAAGCUGGGUCGGGCCUGGUUAGAACUUGGAUGGGAGAUCACCUAGGAAUACUAGGUACUGUAGGCA